AUCCAUCUGACGAGUCCCAAAUAGGACGAAACGCGCGUCCUAGAA
rfam:Schistosoma haematobium scaffold336_6, whole genome shotgun sequence.